UACGGAGGGUGCAAGCGUUAUCCGGAUUCACUGGGUUUAAAGGGUGCGUAGGAGGGCAGGUAAGUCAGUGGUGAAAUCCCCGAGCUUAACUUGGGAACUGCCGUUUAUACUAUCUGUCUUGAAUACCGUGGAGGUGAGCGGAAUAUGUCAUGUAGCGGUGAAAUGCUUAGAUAUGACAUAGAACACCAAUUGCGAAGGCAGCUCGCUACACGAAUAUUGACUCUGAGGCACGAAAUCGUGGGGAUCAAACAGG
rnacentral:rRNA from 1 species